AGGCCUAAGACACCAUUCAUGAAAGUGGUAAAGCUAACAUGUUUUCUUUGCCAUCAUUUACUGUCCAGCACCUAUGUUCCAAACAUAGAUUCCCCACAUUCCCGGGAAGCCAGUAUUACUAUCCUCCUUCUUGUUUGUCCUACAGAUAAACAGCCUGGGCUCAGAGGUAAUAAAUAAGGUGCCAAGGCCACACCUGUUCGGAGUGGAUGUUGAAGUCUGUGUUACUUCAGUUCUAUCUCCUAUUCCCAGUCCAUUCUGCAGAUGAGAAAACUGAGACCCACACAGUGUACAUGCUGAUCUUAAUGAGAAUGAUGACAAUAACGGGAGGAAAAAAAUGAGCAGAAACUGCUAACAUCUGGAGGCUGCUGUCCAGUUUACGUAAUCUCUUGCUGCAGAGGAGGAACACGGGAUCCCCAGCCAGAUGGUCCGUGGGUGACUUCACAGCACAUGUGCUACCUCCAAGACAGGGUUCUCUGAGGAACAAGGACCUUCCAGAGUGAUGCUUUUCCCUAGUGGCAGCCUUGGCCAGGGCAACAGACAUCUGCACAAACGCAGGGUGUUGAAGCAGCUGUUCUGAGAUGCAGUGCCUGAGAAUCUGGGAUCCACAAUGUGAACUUCUCAACAACCCCUGCACCUGCCACUUCCCUGAAUCUUCCACUAAGCACCAGAAGACACAUGCAUUUUAAAUCAAAGGAAUGGCUCCCAUGCAGAAACCAGAGUGUUAAAAUGGAUCCCUCCCACCCUGAACUCUGACUGGUUUGGUUCACCUCAAAGACCAUCCUCCUGCUAUAUGGUUUCGAUAAGUCUAAAAAGAUGAGCCAUUCAAGCCACAGUGUCUUCUAUCUCCAAGCUGGUGAGACACACUGCAGUCCUCUACAGAACAGAAGAGAGACAGUGCACAAGAUUGCUCUUGGGUAAGUUUUCUUUUUCUUAUGUAAUGAAUGGGUUACUCUUCAGCCCUUAGAAUAAAAAUACUAUAAUAACUU
rnacentral:lncRNA from 1 species